rnacentral:rRNA from 1 species
UACGUAGGGUGCAAGCGUUGUCCGGAAUUAUUGGGCGUAAAGAGCUCGUAGGCGGUCUGUCACGUCGGCUGUGAAAACCUGGGGCUCAACUCCGGGCCUGCAGCCGAUACGGGCAGACUAGAGUUCGGCAGGGGAGACUGGAAUUCCUGGUGUAGCGGUGAAAUGCGCAGAUAUCAGGAGGAACACCGGUGGCGAAGGCGGGUCUCUGGGCCGAAACUGACGCUGAGGAGCGAAAGCGUGGGGAGCGAACCGG